rnacentral:rRNA from 1 species
GCCGAACGCUGGCGGCGUGCUUAACACAUGCAAGUCGAGCGGAGCGGCGAACGGGUGCGUAACGCGUGAGUAACUGACCCCCUCUCUGGGAUAACAGUUGGAAACGGCUGCUAAUACCGGAUCGAUGGGAUGGACUCGCGUCCUAUCGGCUUGUUGGUGGGGGAGUGGCCUCCCAAGGCGCCGACGGGUCGCCGGCCGGGGAGUGCGGCCGGCCACAUUGGGCUGAGGUACGUCCCAAACUCCUACGGGAGGCAGCAGGGGGGAAUAUUACACAAUGGGGGAAACCCUGAUGCAGCAACGCGCGUGCGGGAUGACGGCCUUCGCGUUGUAAACCGCUUUCAGCCAUGACGCGUUAGUGGCAGAAGAAGCACCGGCUAACUACGUGCCAGCAGCCGCGGUAAUAC